GAUGGCGACCGGCGCACGGGUGAGUAACGCGUAUCCAACCUUCCCUAGUAGUAGGGGACUAGCCCGUAGAAAUGCGGAUUAAUACCCUAUGUUGUAUUUUGAGGACAUCUGACGAAUACCAAAGGUUUACCGCUAUAGGAUGGGGAUGCGUCUGAUUAGGUUGUUGGCGGGUAACGGCCACCAAGCCUACGAUCAGUAGGGGUUCUGAGAGGAAGGUCCCCCACAUUGGAACUGAGACACGGUCCAAACUCCUACGGGAGGCAGCAGUGAGGAAUAUUGGUCAAUGGGCGAGAGCCUGAACCAGCCAAGUAGCGUGCAGGAUGACGGCCCUAUGGGUUGUAAACUGCUUUUAUGCGGGGAUAAAGUGAGGGACGUGUCCCUUAUUGUAGGUACCGCAUGAAUAAGGACCGGCUAAUUCCGUGCCAGCCGCGGC
rnacentral:rRNA from 1 species